AGUGGAGAUGCUCUUAUCCCGUUCUAUUCGUCUGCUCCCCCAAAUCCCGUCCUCCUCGGCCACCGCCACCGCUGCUCGUUUGGCUGGCUGCCAACCUCCUCUCCGCCCGUGCUUCUCGCCGCCGGCGACUGCGGCCACCGCUGCACCGCGCGGGUCUCCCCUAGUCCCCGCGCGUGGGUGCUCCUCCCCAAUCCCCUCGUUCUCCUACUCUCCCAAUCUGGUCACUUCUCUCCUCUCCAGCAAUCCCCUUCCUCUAUUUCAUCUCCGGUUAGCCGCCGUCCAUCGCGUCCUCCCUCUCCGGGUCAUCAAGGACAAGGACGAGAGCAAGGUCCUCAUGGUAGGCAAGCUGGUGUUGCAGCUCGGCUCUAGCAUGGCCGCGCUUUCUACGGAGUUCGUCGGCUCCGGCGAGGCAUGGACGUGGGCGUCGGGCGCGGUCGACCUCAGCGGUGCGCUGGCCGCGCCGGGGAACACGAUGGAGCACGAAUUUUCUUCCCUCUUGUGAAAUCUCGAGCUAGGGGUUGUGGGGGCAGCAAAUUCCUGAGUCCACGCCAUGAAAUCGAGAGCAGGAGGUGGUGCCUUCUGCAGGUCAUUGUCUUCCUGGAGAUUACCGCCUUGGACCUGCAUCUCGUGGUACUGCUAUAGCACCAAUUCUACAAGAUGUGAGGGCCUUUCUCUGAAAUCAUGAUGGCAACACUCGGUUAAGCUAUCCACACAGGUUUAAUUUUGCAACAUUGACUUUUCCUCAAAAUAUGUUUUGUUGUUUUGGUGGUGAGCAGACUGAAUGUAGUACUCCAUUUUGAUGAAUUGAUGUUACCAUACUUUUGAGCAGCAGAAAUUCUCUCGCUUAUCCUGAUGGAUUUCUUGCACGAGUUGUUGUUACUUGUAGCUUGUUACAAAAUACAGAUCUGAAUCUGAUCAAAAUAUGACCUUUUUCUAAGUUUCCUAAUGUGUUUUUAGGAAUCAAAUCACUUGUUCUGUAAAAGGAUAACAUCUCCCUUUACUUUUACUAUUGUGUAUGCUUCUUUUUCUAGCUGGAUCGAGCAAGCACAGUAAGAAAAGAAGUUGUAUCAAAUGCAUUCUGCACUAGCAGGUUCAUAUGUCUGACAUGCCUUUUUUCAUUAGAACUUGCAAGUGGACAUCUAAAAGUUAAAUAUUCAUUAUUCUAAAAUAUUAUUACCUUUUUUAGUUCUUUCUUAACCAUUACUUCAUCUCAGGUUGUAUUCAAUUCUCUUACACAGGGGCAAUCUCUUAUUUAGAUUGACAAUUGAGAAAGCCCGGACUGCAAUAAAAGCAUGAAAUGGAAGUAAGCCAUAAAUUCCAUACAUGUAGAAACACUUUGAAGAGCUGUACUUUCUAUGAGAUUUGAUAUUUCCAGCGGCAUGCUUGAGUUAAUUUGUUAAUGUGAUAGUUUUCUAAUCUGAACAGUGCAUACUAGAUACUUUGCACUGGUUUCCUGCUUUCCCUCACAUAUGGUCAGAAUCUUCACUUGUUAAGCUAUUAAUGGUCAAUUGAUGCUGGUUAUUAUGGAUGACAUCUUGCACAAAUGGAACACUCAGAUAUAUGCAAUAUUUUGGUUUUACUUUUGUGCUUUCUUUGGAACUGAAACUAAUUUACAUUUUUAUAUUAUUAAGUUAGGCACAUUGGACAUUUCUUGGAUUAUAUUGUUACUCAUGAUUUGCCUUUCCUUUGUUUGAGAUUGUUCUUUAACAACAUAUCUGUUCACAUUAGUAGAUGUGUCUACGAAAAUUGGAGUAUGUGGUUCAGAUUAGCUGAUGAUCUUGCCGAGCAGCAUGCAUCGGUCGUACUUGGAGAUAAGGUAAAUAAAACUGCACCAAGGCUUGCCCCAAUUAUUUUGGUUUGAUUUAUUGGAAAAAUCACAAGAUAAACAUGCUUUCAAAUAUUAAUGCAGUGUUAAUUUUUAAUAUUGCGCAUUUGGCAUGACGUUUUCUGUCUUCGCGUGACUAACCUUUUUCCAACGGUUAUUUAAUUUUAAAGGUAAACAAUAUUAUAUGCAUUCUUGUUUUUUGCUUCUGUUUUUUCUAAAUAAUGAACUGAUCGCUAAUGUAUAUUUUGGAUUUUAUGUGAUAAAUCUCACAUCUUCAAGUGUUGUCUGAUUUUUUUAGAAGCUUUGCAAGUGCCUUUGGCAACUCCUUAUGGGUACUUACAUGCAAUUCACAUUCUUCACCGAUAUGUGAAGGUGAUUUUGGGCUUUGCCAAGUAUACAGCUUCGGAGAUGAGGAGUGUGGUGCAUGGUGCAUCAGGUGUGGAUGCAGCGAUCAAGACCACAUGCUCGGCUUAGGGAGCAGCAGCGCGCACAUAAACAUCAGUUGAUGUCAAGGCGCCAAGGAAAUUAAAAUCCUUGAUGUAGCUGGAGUGAUGUCUUGACGAUUGGCUGAGCAGCGAGGUAGAGUUAUGGCCGUGAGCAGGGGCGGAGCUGGAGGAAAAUAUUCCGUGAUGCACGCUCAAGCUUGUUGCCUUUGCUAGCUGAAUUAAUACCUCCCUGAUGCAUACUUUUCUGCCUAACCUGAUGCACUGCCUUAGUUUUAGCUUACAAGUACUAGUAGAAAAAAUCUUGGACCCUGAUGCAUGUGCAUCAGGGUAAGCCUAAAGAGAUCCGCCCCUGGCCGUGAGGGACCGUUAUGUCUCCAUGGACAUGGUUGGUGUAAGAUACUCGACUGCUUUCUCAUCCGCCUCAACUUCCAGUUCAUGGGUGCCAACGUCGUCUGCACUCUUUACUUGAAGUCCGUUCUCGCGUGUUCCGUGAUAACCACUCCAUUAAUCCUAUGGGCAAGAUACAGGGGCCCGCGUGGAAUAGCUUCGGGCUUGACCGUCGAGGUCGCGGGCGGAUCCGGGAGCGGCCGGCUUCGGUCGGAUACGGACGAGAAGGAGGAGCACGGUUCCGCGGUGGAGGAGUUCGAGCCGGACGCUGCCGGCGGCGGGGAGGAAAUAGAGUUGAACAUCAGAUAGCUGUAGCGCAACGGAGCAGUCGGCGGGGAGACAAAGAUCCGGAGGGGCUUUGGCUGAGGAAGCGCGGCUGUUGGUGGCAGGGGCAAGCAGGGGAGAGAGGGGAGGCCAUCGGGUGAGAAGAGUGAGGGAGAGGGAGCCGCGAGCGAGCUGGAGGAGCAGCUCAGGGAGGCGGCCGCUCGGGUCGGGCGUUUCCAGGAUGCGCGAGGUAGCGCUUGCGGCUGCCUCCUGCUCACCUCGAGCCCCUGGGGGUCGAUUAGCGAAUUAGUAGUGAAAUUAGCCAAUGGGUUACCAGAUCUGGGGAACUGGCUACCGGUACUGCCUAGAUUUUUUUUCUUGGAGCUUCUCUAUUCUUGUGUAUUAGCGUCCAGAUUUGUACAUAGACAUGUAUUGCUGCAGAAUGUUUUUGUAGAUUGCUGCAAGCACUUUGGUACAAGAACUCAUUCCAUUAGUUCUUACAAUGUGAAAUGGUCAGUGCAAAUUGUAAAAUAAUACAUCUCUAAUUAUGUUCUAGAUUGUUGAAAAAAAUUCAUCCAUUAUUAAAA